CCUGGGAAGGGAUGGAAGUUCUGCUCUCCCUGUCACUUCAGCCUGGACACUGGGUCUGAGAUUGGGUCCAAGAGGAGGAGGUGACGGAGACCCACAAGCCUCAUGCGCUCUUCCCAGAUGUUUGCUCUGUGCCUGGUGGGUGAAAAACACAGAAUCCCUUUCGUUGCUUGUCAGGCUUCGUCCGCUAGCUACUGGGAGAGGGAUGAUCUGUUACCAUCCUCAUAGUCAACAUCUCCCAUUUAUAAAGGCAGUGAGCUUCAGAAAGCCCAAGGAACCUGCCUGAGAUCACGUACCAGAGUCCCAGCCGAUCUUAGAGCAAAGGCUCUGGCCAGAUGUCCCCCAAAGCCUCCUGAGGCCAUAGGGGGUACCUCUGGAAGGCGAUGGAUCAUGGGGGCUGAGAGCUGCCUUGCUGUUAGGAGGUGGGGCCUGCCGGUUAGAGGCGGGGGUGGUGGCUGUGACCCGGAAGAUUACAUCUCCCUUCUCAGCUCCUCCCUGCUCUCUGCUGCCACACCGACUCCACGUGGUGAGCAGCCCCCUCCGCCAGGCCCCUCUGCCCUGCCGCCCUGCCUUGGAGCCAGCCGACUAUGGACUGAAACCUCCACAAACUGUGGGCCGGCUACGGUGUCCCAGCUACGAGAAGGGGACUUAGACACUGCCCAUCCACAGCUGCAAAUGACAGAAAACCCCAAUGUUUGAGUAGCAGCGGCUUACGCAUGUUAAUUUCCCUACCUGGUAAGUGACUUCAGAGGAAGACAGCCCAGGCUGGAACCACAGCCUGCGCCCAUUAGAGACCAGAAUCUUCUCACCUGGUGUUCUCCAUCCUCAGCCUGGCCCCUGCCUCGUGGCCCAAAGUGGCUGCUCAUAUCCACACUCAGAAAGCUGAAGGAGGAAGAAACAAAGAAGAGGGCAGCUUCUCUUUCAGCACACACUCCUCACAGUCCUACGUUGGAACCUGCCUACAGUGUGGCAGUGGGAAGUCUGGACUGGGUGCAGCCUGGGAGCCGGCAGUGAAGAGUACAGGAAAGGAACAGGAGAAGACCACGAGGCGUCAGGAGCUCCGGAUAGCUGGCCUGGUGAGGGGCCUGCUCACCCUGUGUUUGGUUCAGUGAACGCUUCUGACCCUUCCUUGGACCGUGUCCCGUGCCAGUCCUGGGCAGAUCCCUGCCCUUCGGGAGUCAGCCAGCUCUAAAUUCUCAAACGCCACAGCUUAACUGGGACAGGUGCCUACAGGACAUGACCCUGGAGCCACACUCCAAAAGCUGAUGCUGUAGAUUGGGGCAGCCCAGAACACUUCAGCCUCCCCGGGUGACGCUGAGGGGUUACUGGGGAGAGACAUCAGCCCUCCUGCAGGACAUGGAAAUGGUGGCGGGGGGGGGGGUGUCAUCCAGGCCUUUGAACUCAAAUCUCAGCUCCACCUUUUGUAGCUGCAACCUCUCAUGAGUUAACCUCUAUUAGUCUUAGUUUCCUUGUCUGUAAAAUAGGGAUAAUCUUACGCUUUUCAUGAGAAAGUGCCAUAAAUGUCAGAGAGCUUAGCAGAGAGGUACCCCAUGAAUGCUAGAUAUUGUUGUUAAAUUAAUUAAAAUUCAUGCGUUCAUUUAAA